ACGGGAGGCAGCAGUGAGGAAUAUUGGUCAAUGGGCGGAAGCCUGAACCAGCCAAGUCGCGUGAAGGAUGAAGGUAUUAUGUAUUGUAAACUUCUUUAGACGUAGAGAAAUAAGGGGGUCGUGACCUCUGGUGCUAGUAUACGUAGAAUAAGGAUCGGCUAACUCCGUGCCAGCAGCCGCGGUAAUACGGAGGAUCCGAGCGUUAUCCGGAUUUAUUGGGUUUAAAGGGUGCGCAGGCGGCUUUUUAAGUCAGUGGUUAAAUCGUGGAGCUUAACUCCAUCCCGCCAUUGAUACUGGAGAGCUUGAUUGCGGUUGAGGUUGGCGGAAUUCGCCGUGUAGCGGUGAAAUGCAUAGAUAUGGCGAAGAACUCCGAUUGCGUAGGCAGCUGACCAAGCCGUAAAUGACGCUCAUGCACGAAAGUGCGGGGAUCGAACAGGAUUAGAUACCCUGGUA
rnacentral:rRNA from 1 species